CCUGGGAGGUUGUAACUCGGCUUUGUUGGAGGGAAUCAGCGCAGCGAAGGCGCAGGGAGUGUGUAGCGGUGUGUAGCUGGGCGGCCAGUGUGCGCGAGCGUGUGUGCGUGCGAGGCGCACCCCCUCCCGUGGCGGCCAGGUUAGACUCAGGGACCAGAGACCGCGACCGGAGAUGCGCCCCCGCUGCGGCAGCUCAGAUGUCCACGGCGGGAGGGGACUCUGAAUGUUGCAGCUCCAGAGCUGCAAGGAAGCAACCCCACCCCAACCCCCCCACCCCACGAGCCGGCCUAGGGGACGGGGGCGGGCAGAAGCAAAAGAAGUCAUUGUAAUUAAUGAAUGUCAUAAUUAACCCUAAUUAUGUAUGAUUGUUACUCCUGAGAGAGUCACAAUGAAUAAAUUAUUCCCCAGUGAAGGCA